rnacentral:rRNA from 1 species
GACGAACGCUGGCGGCGUGCCUAAUACAUGCAAGUCGAGCGGACAGAAGGGAGCUUGCUCCCGGAAGUUAGCGGCGGACGGGUGAGUAACACGUGGGCAACCUACCCUGUAGAUCGGGAUAACAUCGAGAAAUCGGUGCUAAUACCGGAUAAUCAUUUGAAGUGCAUGCUUCGAAUGUAAAAGAUGGCUCCGGCUAUCACUACGGGAUGGGCCCGCGGCGCAUCAGCUGGUUGGUAAGGUAAUGGCUUACCAAGGCAACGAUGCGUAGCCGACCUGAGAGGGUGAUCGGCCACACUGGGACUGAGACACGGCCCAGACUCCUACGGGAGGCAGCAGUAGGGAAUCUUCCGCAAUGGACGAAAGUCUGACGGAGCAACGCCGCGUGAGUGAUGAAGGUUUUCGGAUCGUAAAGCUCUGUUGUUAGGGAAGAACAAGUGCCGUUUGAAUAAGGCGGCACCUUGACGGUACCUAACCAGAAAGCCACGGCUAACUACGUGCCAGCCGCCGCCGUAAUAC